rnacentral:rRNA from 1 species
UACGUAGGGUCCGAGCGUUGUCCGGAAUUAUUGGGCGUAAAGGGCUCGUAGGCGGUUUGUCGCGUCGGGAGUGAAAACCUACAGCUUAACUGUGGGCUUGCUUUCGAUACGGGCAGACUUGAGGCAGGCAGGGGAGAGCGGAAUUCCUGGUGUAGCGGUGAAAUGCGCAGAUAUCAGGAGGAACACCGGUGGCGAAGGCGGUUCUCUGGGCAUGUUCUGACGCUGAGGAGCGAAAGUGUGGGGAGCGAACAGG